rnacentral:tRNA from 1 species
UGCGGGGUGGAGCAGUGGUAGCUUGUCAGGCUCAUAACCUGAAGGUCGCUGGUUCGAAUCCAGCCCCCGCAA